AGCGAACGCUGGCGGCAGGCCUAACACAUGCAAGUCGAACGAACUCUUCGGAGUUAGUGGCGGACGGGUGAGUAACACGUGGGAACGUGCCUUUAGGUUCGGAAUAACUCAGGGAAACUUGUGCUAAUACCGAAUGUGCCCUUCGGGGAAAAGAUUUAUCGCCUUUAGAGCGGCCCGCGUCUGAUUAGCUAGUUGGUGAGGUGAAGGCUCACCAAGGCGACGAUCAGUAGCUGGUCUGAGAGGAUGAUCAGCCACAUUGGGACUGAGACACGGCCCAAACUCCUACGGGAGGCAGCAGUGGGGAAUCUUGCGCAAUGGGCGAAAGCCUGACGCAGCCAUGCCGCGUGAAUGAUGAAGGUCUUAGGAUUGUAAAUUCUUUCACCGGGGACGAUAAUGACGGUACCCGGAGAAGAAGCCCCGGCUAACUUCGUGCCAGCCGCCGCGGUAA
rnacentral:rRNA from 1 species